GGCUGCGGCCAGGGCAUCUGAAGGACUCAGCAGGUUUGCACUUCGCUGACCUGAUGGAUGAAUGGGCCCUGUCCACCCACAUGGGGCCUGGAAUCUUCAAUUACGGCAAUUACAUCAACAGGUCGGAAGGGCAGCACUUUCCACUGAAGAGGUUCAGGGCUUUAAAGAAAAAAAAAAUCCUAAAGCCACUGUUUUCCCUGCUUUCUUUUAAAGGGGCUAGGCCGAUCAAAGACGACCCCAUCUCCAGUCUAAUUGGGCCAUAGGUAGAGAAGAAAGGCAGUCCGCGUUUUCUGUGAGAGUUGGCUGCCACGCGCUCGCCCACCUCUGGACUCCCGGCUCCUCUCCCAUUCAAGUUUGUUUACAGAUCCCGACCGCACGUACUCUGCGCUCCCCACCUUUCUGAGAAUAAGACCUGGGGCCCUCCCCUCUGAAUCUCCCAGCAUGCAGCGCAGUAGUACAGUCAAGAUGGCUCUGGACUGCGGUCAGAAGGAUGGAUUGCGCGGAAAGGUCACUUAGUCUUUCUGAUUGUGUUUCCCUCAACAGUAAAAUCAGCACACUGCUGUCCACCUGCCUUUGCUAAAGUCGCAAAGGGUCCAGCUCCCACACAUACCCCAAUUAAUGUGGAUUUUUUUUUCUCAGCCACCUGUGAGGUAGUUCAGCUGAAGGGAGGUUCUUGCCCCAGUAGCAAAUGGGUGUUAGCUGAGAAUUUGCUAGAAGUGUAGAUCUUGGGCCUCACUCUAGGUAAGUAGGAAUCUGCAUUUUAUUUACCAAGCUUUCCAGGAAACGUGCGGACACAUUAAAACCUAAGGAAGGCUUUUCUAGACUGAAACUUGUCCCGUUGAACACGAGGGAGCUGGUGGCAGGGAGCCUGUAGCUUGUUUUCCUCUGAAGAUUUAUUCUUUCCUACAGGAGGGAUGCUUUGAGGCCCAGAAUGAAGUAGUUUAUCAUUGCAAAGGUAUUCAUCCAGUCACUGGGCCAUUCAGUUGACAGACACCUGCUGAAUGGCACUAUAAGGUAGGUUUGAGCCAUAAUAGCUUCUGUAGCUAUGAAUGGGAUCAAGCAGAUCCUUCUAGACAGAGGGCCACACAAGCAAACGUUCUGUGUUUUAUAAGAGGGGGAAGGCAGCACAACUGAGCCCCAGAGUCUCACAGGAGCCUGCAGAACCAUAGCACAUUUGCAGACGGUACCACGGCGUGAUUAUGGACGAAUCCACUGUAACUUGACUGGUAAGCCCAAUGAGGUCGGUUGUACCUCUGCGUUAGUUCUGUGGACAUCACUGUCUGGUUUACUUUAGGUCUGGCCCUUCGUUUGAACCUUUUGUAUGCAAGGUACUGUUAGGUUUAUUGUACUGUUAAUUAUUUAAGAGGAGCAUUCCUUCAAACUCCUCAUGGAGUCUAAUGGCUGAAGUUGAUUGGUGACAUCAUAGUCUACUUCUUUUUUUUUUUUUUUGGUUCUUUUUUUUUUUUCGGAGCUGGGGACCGAACCCAGGGCCUUGUGCUUCCUAGGCAAGCGCUCUACCACUGAGCUAAAUCCCCAACCCCCAUAGUCUACUUCUUAAGAGUUUUAAGAUCACACUAAGCUGGGUGUGUUGGUGUGUGACUUUAAUCCAGCACUUGGGAGGCAGAGGCAGGCUGUUCUCUGAGUUCAGAGCCAGCCUGAUGUACAGAGUGAGUUUCAGGACAACCAAGGUUAAACAGAGAAACACUGUCUCCAAAACAAAACAAAACACCCCCCCCCACAACAGCUCCCCCAAUCACACUGAGCCUUGAAGAUUAGGAAAAUAAGAGAAUGGGCCUUCAGAUAUGUUAUUAAUGGGUGUGGCCUUUUUGGAAAAGCAAGGGAUCAUGCAUGUUAACUGGGCAUUGUUCUGUCAACGUGUUUAGCCGGGAACCAAAGCUGUCAUCUAGAAUCAUCGGAGGCUUGUCAUAGCUUCUCUCCCUUAGCAUCAUCUCAGUGUGUCCACAUGUGGCAGCAGUGGUGUGUGUGUGGAGAUGCCAUAGUGGUAUCCCAUAAGAGGUAGCUUACACCCUGGAUCAACCAAGGACCACGCCUCCUGAAGGGCUAAUGCGAUGUGGAGUGUGGUCACAGCUGGUGAGACAGAGAGUAGGUACAUCUAUGUAGGUGUCUGCAUGAAGAUGCAAAAUCGCUUCCUGGUACAGGUGUAAGGGCAGCAUGAGUAAAACCAAGCCCUGCAAGGUAUGACUCUUCAUCUCGACCAGAGAGGGUGAGCUCUUGGUGGCUCCUCCAGGCCACCAGGGUUCUUGGUCCUUGUGCAAUGCUGUCAUAGCAAAGACUGAGCUAUCAGGACCUCUUGGUCAUUGAGGACAGCAGUGUGGUGUUUAGCCAGGUUCUUCUUGCUUGGUUCUGUGACUGAGCUAAAGGCAAGGACUUUGUUUUGCUUGUAUUGGGUAGCACCCUUGGGUGCCGAGUUAAAAUUUAGCCAAACUUGCAAAUAAGGGUUAUCUGUCUCUGGCAUGGACAUCGGGGUCGAGGCUUUCUGCACCACUGCCCUCAGUGUGCACACUCUCUCUGUUUGGGCACAGGGUGAUGUGUUCCCCUGUCACUGAUCUCCGUCAGUAUAUAGGGACGUAGGUGGACAGUGCUUAAGUAACCCAGGGCCUUGAGCUCUAAGUGAGCUUUGCUGUGAAUGUGGCAAGGCACACGGUGAUUAGGAACCAGGCCUGGCUGGAUUCAAACCUGACUCUCUCCUCUGUCAGGGAAAGCAGGUCACUGCUUGAACGUCUCUUUCCCACCACUGAAGGGGUGAUCUGUCCUUGCUGUACCGUGAGGAUGAAGGAGACAGUGCAGUCCCGUAGUGGUUAGGUAGCUAAGAGUCUUGGUGUGACGCAGCCUCCCAAGAGCCUAGGGCUUGAGACUCAACUGCUUUCAGUUCAUGAAACCAUGUCAGCAUCAGAGCCAGGAACAAGAGAACCUAGAGCAGACCUCACAUCAGCUGAAUAAAGAAACUGAAGACAGGAAGGUCCCACCCUGUAGCCCCAUGGCCACAUAUCUAUCCUUAGAAACGUGCGUGUAUGCAUAUAUGUGCAUGCAUAUAAUCAAUUAUGACAUGUUUAUUCCAUGUUGCACAUUCCAGUUUCAGGAGCUGAAACCCCUCCCCCCCUUUUUCUGGCAUCUGAAGGCACCAGAAAACACACGGGAUACACAGACAUACACACAGGUAAAAACACCCAUACACAUAAAAAAAAAACAAAUAAGUCAGUUGGUUUUACACAGCUGUUCUGAGAACCCUGUAUGUAGGAUGUCUUAUUUUAGUCAGGAUGGGCGAGGUAAUGCUGUGACAACAAAGUCUUCAAAUCUCAGUGGCUGGAGUCAACCGACACCCACGCUUCUCAGGGUUUUGCUCUUUAGUAAAGAGGCUGCUGCCAGCUGUCCUUCUGACCUAAGCCCACCCACUCAACCCAGUUCACAGAAACCGCAGCAGACGAAGAGAGGGUGGAGGGUCCUGCAUCUGCUGGGAAGUGAUACCUGCUGGUUCACGCUUCAUCAGCCAGAAGACGUCAGGUUGCCACACCCAACCUCAACAGGCAAGGGGGCAGCAGACUCCUCUGGGAAAUGAGAUAUGGAAAAACCGAGAGGCAUGUGAUCGAUACCACACCGAAUGCCGCGAUCCUUACAUCCAACCUCUGAUGCUUGUUUUUUUUUUUUUUUUUUUUUUUUUUUUUAACCCUGAGCUUACACCAGAAGAAAUGGACACCGAGUCAGUCUUGACUGUUUGUAAGAGGGAGAUGUGGGAUUUAGUCUGGAAAGUCUGACUGAAAGAUCCCUUGUGUCACGUGUGUCUGUAUUCACGGUAGGAGGGAGGCUACAGAGGACGGAUGGCAUAGGUGCUUCCUUCAGAGUGUCAGUGGCUGGGCGCCACAGCCUGUGAGAGAAGCCCUGCGAGGAGGUGGCUCUCAUCUGUAGACCUCGAAGAGGCUUUGGAUCCUGAGAGCUGUUUAUUCUUUCCGUUCUUCCCCCAUCAAUCUAUCUGAGAACCAACUCUAAAGUCCACGUAGUCCACUCUCUUGACUUUCUUGACUUUCUGAUCUCUGUCAAGAGACGCCUGGAGGGAUGGGGGCUUGCAAGGAAGCUCUCCGAACUGGGCUUGACCAAGGAUCUUUCCUGGAAUGGGCCCUAGGGAGAAAUUAGAUGCAAGGGCCAAGUAGGAACUGGGUUUGAUUAGAGUUAGUGCAGCCCCCCUCUCUUCCGCCCCGUCAUUUCUCCUCCUGUCCAAUCCGCUCUUUCCCUCCCUCUCUCCCUUUUUUCCUCAGCCCUCCUGUCUGUUUAGGCUGGUGCUGAAUAUGUGUGUAUGGGGGUUGGAUGGAGGUGAGAAUGGGAAGCUAGGUGUUCCGGAAUGGUUGAAGGUAUUGGGGAAAGGCAGGGAGGAGGAAAAGCUUUGGCUCCCUGGGGUCCUAUAAGGAAAGGCCCCCAAGGUCCCAGUGUUUGCCUAGAAACUCAAGAAGAAACCUCUGCGGUGAGGCAGUGACCCCGUGAAGGAGUGUGUGUGUAACUGGAGGGAAGGAAAAUAAGCCUACCACAUGGCACACAGCCUGUGGGUCAUGGGGGAGUGUCAGCCUGCCGCUCAGCCACUGAUGAGUCAGGAGUAGAAUCUUUGUCAGCUUUCAGCAGCCUGAAGGCUGCUGCCUGGGGCUGGCCCCAGCACCUGGCCUCGCCCACAAGCUCCAGAAAGCUCCCUUCCCUCCCCCUUCCUCCCAGGAGCCAUGUUUGGCGGUGGGGGCAACUGGAACAGAAGCCAGUGUUUUCUGCCUCCUCUCUGGUUUCCUCCCUAACUCAGAGUCAGGGAUAGACCAGUGCUUCCGGGGUGGUUUGGGGUACCUGGGGAAUAAGAGGAGACCCAGGGUCACCCUUCCACACACUCAACAGCUGGCCACACAUGUGGCCUUUCACGGUUCAUCACCUGCCAAUGGUAGGGUCCAAGAAUUGAUGAAGGAAGCCCCCCAGACUCAAAUAGUAUGUAAAAGCAAAGAGCGCUUGUUCUGCAGGAAUUACCAGCAUGCAAAGGUCGACCAUUCAUCAAAAUGGGCGACCCUCCAAGGGCUUGUAAACUCCCUUUUAUGUAGGGCUAGGGGGAUUUUCCAGAAGGGUUAGGUAACCUCUAUCAUGAUUGGUGGAGGCAAGGCAGUGACAUUAGUAACAUUCUGAUUGGCUGCUAUGUUAGUUCUAUUGUAAUUGCCGAAACCUUGAAGAGUUUCAGAGACCAGCUCAGUUCUGGCCUUGUUGUCUCCUCAGCUAGGUGCCCAGGAGCUGACUCAGCUCCAGACUUACGGUCCCUAAAUCAGGGCUGUCACUGACUAACGGCCCCUCAGUGGCUCCCUCUGAGGAGCCCAGUUUGCUUCCCUGGGAAUCGAAAAUGUAUUAUUCCUUGAGAUUUUUGGACUUCUUACCAACAAAUAGCCUGACCAGUGCUUGUCUACUAGAAAAACUGUUUUCUAGCCUUUCUGGGAUCCCACUAUGUAAUUUCUCACCCCUCUACCCUGCUUCUCAUCCAUACCAUUGGAGGAUAUCAGCACACCUCAGAAGGCAUCUAGGCCAGCAGUUGCUAAACCCAGUGAGUGGGUCAUCACCCAGAAAGCUGUCAGAAACAUGAUCUCUGGGCUCCAUGAGGCCCAGCGGGUAGGGUGUUUGUACUACAUAAGUUGGGCAUGGUGGUCCAUACAUGUAACCCCAGACCUUCAGGAGGUAGGUGUGGCUAUAUACUCAGUUAAAGACUUCACAGAUCGGGGGUUGGGGAUUUGGCUCAGUGGUAGAGCACUUGCCUAGCAAGUGCAAGGUCCUGGGUUCGGUCCCCAGUUCUGAGAAAAAGAAAAAAAAAAAGGUUUCAUAGAUCAGAGAGGGAGCAAGGGAGAGAGGGAGGGGGAGAGGAGGGGGAGGGGGAUGAAAGGGGGAAAGGGGGAGGGAGGGAGGGAGGGGGAGAGAGAGAGAGAGAGAGAGAGAGAGAGAGAGAGAGAGAAUUCUUAGUCUUGGUUCUCAGUUCUGACUUUUGGGCAGGGACUGAUUUGCAGGUCUCACGCCCUGUGGGCCAUCCCUUGGGAGGUCACAGUGGGGACGAAGUGUGUUAACGGCUUGUCUUGGCAACUGACUCUCCUCGUGUGGAUUUAUGGCUUGCAUUAAGGGCUAGUUUUCCAGACCUGCUGAGAGGACCAGCACUGCCCCUCCAUCUCAUCUCUGCAGGUUGCCCGGAUACAGACCUCCUGCAAGGAGCCGGUUUCUCUACUGGCCUGCAGCCAAUCUGUGCAGGGAAAGGAGCCCUCACGGAGUAGGCCACAGUGUCCUUCUGGAUGCUUCCUUUAAUGUGAUUCAUCUACUUGUCCCUACUGACAGUCUCAGCUUUCCAGGAUGACUUGGAUGGAAGCUUUAAGCAUACACAGCCAGACGUGUGUAGCACAGGGUUCCACAUAUGCUGCUUGUACCCUGCUGUGUUCAUUCAGUGACGUUCUCUUCCCAGGAGACUCUGUGAUAGUGUCCGUGGUUGGCUUCUAUUUUUUCUUUUUCUUUCUUUCUUUUCUUUUUUUUUUUUUUUGGCUCCAUAGUGUUCUGGGGAACACACCCUUAGUAUCUGAGGAGCCAGGCUCCAGCCUUUUGGGGGAGUCUUUAGUCGUAGUAGUAACAGGGAGUUUUGAGGCAUGAUGGGACAUGAAGGAACUACGACUAACCACAAUGCAAUUCCACAUCUGAAAUGUGGCUGGUCCAGUCACGAUUGCCUACAAUGGCAAAAAUGCAAACUAGACUUUGAAGAAUUAAUUUUAAAAUGUAAACCAUCUUAUUUAAUACUUUAAAAAAACAAAUCAUAUUUUAAAUCUUAUAUUUUAAAUGUAUCAGCAAUAUCAAACAUGCGACGAAUCAAUUAAA